rnacentral:rRNA from 1 species
AUUAAUGUGAGAAUCAUUAACGCCGUAAACCCAAGGUUUCCUACGCGAUGCUCGUCAUCGUAGGGUUAGUCGGGUCCUAAGCUGAGUCCGAAAGGGGUAAGCGAUGGCAAAUAGGUUAAUAUUCCUAUACCAACAUUAGUGUGCGAUGGAAGGACGCUUAGGGCUAAGGGGGCUAGCGGAUGGAAGUGCUAGUCUAAGGUCGUAGGAGGUUAUACAGGCAAAUCCGUAUAACAAUACUCCGAGAACUGAAAGGCUUUUUGAAGUCUUCGGAUGGAAAGAAGAACCCCUGAUGCCGUCGAGCCAAGAAAAGUUUCUAAGUUUAGCUAAUGUUGCCCGUACCGUAAACCGACACAGGUGGGUGGGAUGAGUAUUCUAAGGCGCGUGGAAGAACUCUCUUUAAGGAACUCUGCAAAAUAGCACCGUAUCUUCGGUAUAAGGUGUGCCUCCCUUUGUAUUAGAAUUCACUUCGAAAGCAAAGAAGGUUACAACAAAGAGUCCCUCCCGACUGUUUACCAAAAACACAGCACUCUGCUAACUCGUAAGAGGAUGUAUAGGGUGUGACGCCUGCCCGGUGCUCGAAGGUUAAUUGAUGGGGUUAGCAUUAGCGAAGCUCUUGAUCGAAGCCCGAGUAAACGGCGGCCGUAACUAUAACGGUCCUAAGGUAGCGAAAUUCCUUGUCGGUUAAAUACCGACCUGCAUGAAUGGCGUAACGAGAUGGGAGCUGUCUCAAAGAGGGAUCCAGUGAAAUUGUAGUGGAGGUGAAAAUUCCUCCUACCCGCGGCAAGACGGAAAGACCCCGUGGACCUUUACUACAGCUUGACACUGCUAUUUGGAUAAGAAUGUGCAGGAUAGGUGGGAGGCUUUGAGUAUAUGACGCCAGUUGUAUAUGAGCCAUUGUUGAGAUACCACUCUUUCUUAUUUGGGUAGCUAACCAGCUUGAGUUAUCCUCAAGUGGGACAAUGUCUGGUGGGUAGUUUGACUGGGGCGGUCGCCUCCCAAAUAAUAACGGAGGCUUACAAAGGUUGGCUCAUAGCGGUUGGAAAUCGCUAGUAGAGUAUAAAGGUAUAAGCCAGCUUAACUGCAAGACAUACAAGUCAAGCAGAGACGAAAGUCGGUCUUAGUGAUCCGGUGGUUCUGUGUGGAAGGGCCAUCGCUCAAAGGAUAAAAGGUACCCCGGGGAUAACAGGCUGAUCUCCCCCAAGAGCUCACAUCGACGGGGAGGUUUGGCACCUCGAUGUCGGCUCAUCGCAUCCUGGGGCUGGAGCAGGUCCCAAGGGUAUGGCUGUUCGCCAUUUAAAGCGGUACGCGAGCUGGGUUCAGAACGUCGUGAGACAGUUCGGUCCCUAUCUGCCGUGGGCGUAAGAAGAUUGAAGAGAUUUGACCCUAGUACGAGAGGACCGGGUUGAACAAACCACUGGUGUAGCUGUUGUUCUGCCAAGAGCAUCGCAGCGUAGCUAAGUUUGGAAAGGAUAAACGCUGAAAGCAUCUAAGCGUGAAGCCAACUCUAAGAUGAAUCUUCUCUAAGCUCUCUAGAAGACUACUAGUUUGAUAGGCUGGGUGUGUAAUGGAUGAAAGUCCUUUAGCUGACCAGUACUAAUAGAGCGUUUGGCUUAUCUUAUAAAUA